rnacentral:tRNA from 1 species
CUGGCGGCUGGGUGAGGUGACCGUGCCCUGGCCGGGCACCGCCACCUGAUCCCUGCCGGUGCCGCCGGUC